GAGUUAGUGACUUGAAAAUGGUUAAAUCUAGGAACUUUAAAGUAGAUUUUUUGUUUUGUAUGUGGUUUGGUAGGUGACUUUGUUGGUUUAAAAUGGUUAAGUCAAGGGACUUUAACGGGAACUUUUUUGUUUUGAAUGUGAUUUGUUUGGUGACUUAGUUGUUUGAAAAUAGUUAAUUAUAGGGAUUUUAUAGAGAAUUUUUUCAGUUUUGAAUGUGGUUUGUUAGGUGACUUAGUCAAUUAAAAAUGGUUAAGUCUAGAGACUUUAAACAAUUUUUUUUUUGUUUUGAAUGUGGUUGGUUAGGUGACUUAGCCACUUGAAAAUGGUUAAGUCUAGGUACUUUAAAAUGGAUUUUUUUAUUUAGAAUGUGAUUUUUUAGGUGACUUAGUUGGUUGAAAAUGGUAAAGUCUAGAGACUUUA
rnacentral:lncRNA from 1 species